CUAUUUCCAAAUCAAGACAUUCAGUCCCCCAAUUUUUCAAAAUCAGCGAUUUUGGUUCUUCUGUUAGUUGACCGUUAAUUGAUUAUCCAUGGUCAAACAUUGAGUGAAAAAUAAAAGUAUCUAGGAGACCAAAAUUGCAGAUUGAGCAUUAUAGGGGAACCAAAAAUGUAUUUUACCCUAAAAUAAAUUCAUGAAAAUAAGGACAUCCAUGUAAAACAAGCAAUAUUAAUGAAACAUACAGCAGGAAGAAGGUUGGAAACUGCAGUGCCUGAUGAUGUAAUGGCUACUGCUGGAAUGUGAGAUCCUCUUCCAUAUCCAACAGCUUGAAAUGCA
rnacentral:lncRNA from 1 species